UAUUGUUUUUCUUGAGUUUACAUAGUUAAUACUUCGAUGUUUUGAUUGCUUUUUCUGAUUAUUGUACACUGUUUAGAGCCUAACAAAUGGGAGGGAUGUAGAAAUUUUAAUAAGCACGCAAACAAACAAAAGGACUAGAAUCUUUAUGGGGAAAAGAUUCAGAUUUAGUUAGAACUAUGAUUCAAUCCAUAAGAUUUGCCUUUCUCAUGAAUAUGCAUACUCAAACGACCUUUAAUGGCAUAUAUGAAAAACAAACAAACACCAAACUGCUAAUGAAAGCAAUACUGAACGAUGCUGCUUAAGCAAAAUAUCUCUCUGGAAGUUUGGACAAAAUGUAUUUUAAAUGUUUUCAAUAAAAUUAGAGAUCUAUUUCACUCACAUCAUAUUUCUGUAGGAUGCUGUGCUUACCUGAUUCCCUGAAUGGCUGGGCAGAGAUGAUUGUAUGCCUCGGUGCUUAAAAUUCAGACAUGGUUGCCCUCAGGUGAGGUGGAAGAUGAUUUCUGCCAGAAACCGGAGAUCAUUCUUGUUGGAAAAUAUACAAAGGAGACAAGAUCUGGCAUUCUGCCUCAAUCAUCAAAAUAUCACAAGAUGUCUUUGGACGAAAGAAAUGGAAAGCUUCAGAAAACAACGCAUGCUUUUAAAAAUUAAUUUUAGAAGUGUUUAUCCUUAAGUGCAGCAAAAAUGUAUCUGAGGAAAAGGCCAGUUGGGGUCCUUAAGGGAUGCAGUCUGGUGUUGACAGCUCUAUAAUAUGUCUUGUUCUUGUCAGCUCCAGAGAUUGGAAAUCUCAAUCCUCUUAAUAGUAUUUCUGUUCCUGGUGCUAAGAGAAGAUUAAAAUGUUCUCAUAUUCAUACUUCAAUGAACCUCCUGUCAUCAAAA